GGAUUGACACAUCGGUCGUGCCUUAAGGGGUAUGAACUGGUGUAGUCAAUUUCUCACCUUCUGGAGAACCGCGAUGCCCUUAAUUGGGUGUCACGGGGAACCAGGACCAUUACUUUGAAAAAAUUAGAGUGUUUAAAGCAGACUAUCGUCUGAAUACAUUAGCAUGGAAUAAUGAAAUAGGACGGACUGAUUCUAUUUCGUUGGUUUCUAGGAUCACCGUA
rnacentral:rRNA from 1 species